rnacentral:rRNA from 1 species
UUCCGGUUGAUCCUGCCGGACCUUACUGCUAUCGGGGUGGGACUAAGACAUGCGAGUCGAGCGUCUCUAGCUAUGUUGAGACGCGGCAGACGGCUCAGUAACGCGUGGCUAACCUACCCUCAGGACGAGAAUAAACCCGGGAAACUGGGGCUAAUGCUCGAUAGGUGAGGAUGUCUGGAAUGACUUCUCAUACAAAGGGCCUUGGAAACAUGCUUUCAAGGUCGCCUGGGGAUGGGGCCGCGUCCGAUCAGGUUGUUGGUGGGGUAACGGCUCACCAAGCCUAUAACCGGUACGGGCCAUGAGAGUGGUAGCCCGGAGAUGGGUACUGAGACAAGGACCCAGGCCCUACGGGGCGCAGCAGUCGCGAAAACUCCGCAAUGCACGAAAGUGUGACGGGGCUACCCCGAGUGCCAUCCGCUGAGGAUGGCUUUUCUUUGGUAUAACUAGCCAGGGGAAUAAGGAGAGGGCAAGACUGGUGUCAGCCGCCGCGGUAAUACCAGCUCUCCGAGUGGUAGGGAUGAUUAUUGGGCUUAAAGCGUCCGUAGCCGGCUCAGUAAGUCUCCUGUUAAAUUCAGCGACCUAAUCGUUGANNNNGCGGGAGAUACUGCUAGGCUAGGAGGCGGGAGAGGUCGACGGUACUUCUGGGGUAGGGGUGAAAUCCUAUAAUCCCGGGAGGACCACCAGUGGCGAAGGCUGUCGACUAGAACGCGCUCGACGGUGAGGGACGAAAGCUGGGGGAGCGAACCGGAUUAGAUACCCGGGUAGUCCCAGCCGUAAACGAUGCGAGCUAGGUGUUGGGAUGGCUACGUGCCAUUCCAGUGCCGCAGGGAAGCCAUUAAGCUCGCCGCCUGGGGAGUACGGCCGCAAGGCUGAAACUUAAAGGAAUUGGCGGGGGAGCACCACAAGGCGUGAAGCUUGCGGUUCAAUUGGAGUCAACGCCGGG